ensembl:lncRNA
AAUGCCUUACACAUGCAGUGCUUUAAAGACUUGACACUGUGGUCAUUCACUCCACGCCCUGGCUCUGUCUGCCCCUGACCACAACACUCACCACACACUGACCAAUGAGGAUCAAGUGUCUAGCCUAAGGACACAAAAGAGAGUCUAAGUGGGAAGAGUGGUCCUAGUUUAGUCCUGGUUUACUACUAGCUUACUCCUGAUUUAGUCCUGGUUUAGUCCUGGUUUAGUCCUGGUUUAGUCCUGGUUUAGCCCUGGUUUAGUCCUGGUUUAGCCCUGGUUUAGUCCUGGUUUAGCCCUGGUUUAGUCCUGGUUUAGCCCUGGUUUAGUCCUGGUUUAGCCCUGGUUUAGUCCUGGUUUUGACAACGAGACAGAACAUCAGUAGCAUUUAGGCCCAUGUGACUCUGACCUAAUGUUUCCUCCUCUCAACACACCUGGAGUUGUUUUUUGUUUCAUUCACACACGUUUAACACACAAAUCUUGCACAUUUAGAAUGAGUUCUUCUAUCAAACUGAAAACACUCUGUUCCACCUUGUGAUGUCAUCAUGUGGUAAUACAGGAAGUACUCCACUGUGUUUUUAAACUCCUUACACCAUAGAAUCAUUUGGAUCAUUCCAGCCCAGUAAUUGUCAAUCUCUGCUGAACUAAAGGUAAAGGGUUAAAAGGGUAAAACUAGGACUAAACUAAAACUGGACCAGGACUAGAAAAGAACCAAACUGGGUUUUCAUCAUGGCUAAACUGGUGCCAAAGUGUGUACGUUGUUCACAGUGGCAGUAUUUGUAUGUUAAGUUUACAGUGACAUUUGAACAGCAGUAUUUCAGUGUUAAAUUUACAGGGGCAGUAUUUAAAUCUGAAGUUUACAGUGAUAGUAUUUAAACAUUAAGUUUACAGUGGCAGUAUUUGAACGUUAUGUUUACAGUGAUGGUAUUUAAAUACUAAGUUUACAGGGGCAGUAUUUAAACGUUAAGUUUACAGUGGCAGUAUUUAAACGUUAAGUUUACAGUGGCAGUAUUUGAAUGUUAAGUUUAUAGUGGCAGUAUUUAAAAGUUAGGUUUACAGUGACAUUUGAACAUUAAGUUUACAGGGACACUAUUUAAAUGUUAAGUUUACAGUGACAGUAUUUGAAUGUUGAGUCAUUUGAAUGUUCAUAAACAAGAAGUCAUUUUUU